UAUUUAAAUAAAACUUUAUUUAUGAACACUUAAACUUGAAUUUCAGCUGGGUGCAGUGGCUCGCACCUGUAAUCCCAGCAGUUUGGGAGGCCGAGGCAGGAGGAUCACUUGAGGCCAGGAGUUUGAGACUAACCUAGGCAACAUAGCAAUACCCUGUCUCUAUAAAAAAAUAAAAAUUAUACAUUGAAAUUUUAAAAAUCUUCAAUAUCAUAUAAUUUUCAUGUGUCACAAAAUAUUAUUUUUAUGUUUUCAACCAUUUGAAACGUGUUAAAAACCAUUUUAGCUCAUGUACCAUGUAAGAACAGGGGGCAUUCAGAUUUGGCACUCAGGCCGUAGUUUGCUGACCCUUGGCUUAGACCAGUCAUAGUCCAUUGCCUGGAGCUGGGUUCGCUGUCACUGUAAGGAAGGGUGUGUAUGUGGCAGAAGGUGUAGCAUAAGGGGGGCUGUGGGAGAUGUAUGACACAGGCAACUAACAGUAUUCGUCAACAGCAGAGUUUGAAUCCAAAGCAUCCACUCAGCCUGUCAUGGGGGUGCACGCUUGUAUCCCAGCUACUCAGGCGUCUGAGGCAGGAGGAUCGCUCGAGACCAGGAGUUCAACACCAGCCUGGGCAACAAAGCAAGACCCCCAUCUCAAAACAAAACUGAAACCAAAAAAAGAAAAAGAAAAAAAGAAAAGACCCAUUCACUCUUAGCCUCUGUGUUCAUGUUCUCUUCUCAGCAACCUCCCUGUGCUGGGAAGGUGAGAGGGAGAAGGCAUGCAAUUAGGCAUCGGGAUUGUGGUGUCAGCUUUGCUAUCAAGAUGGCUCUGGCUGGGACACAUGCCAUGUCUCCUGAGGCAUUCCAACAGCCUCUUCUCACCAAGGCCCCAGAUGGGAGAUCAUAGGAGGGGGAUGCAGGGAGGGGUCCCCAGGUGGCAAAGACUUCUCAGGAAGCUGAGAGGGGCUGGAGGUCCUGCCUCCCUCCCUCCCCAUGGUGCACACCCCUGAGGUGUGGAGCAAGGGGUGGGGGUUUACCUCUGGCCCUGGAUGGAGCAGGAUUUACCUUUCCCCUUGACAUUGAUAGGCCUGAAACUGGGUCUUGGUCUUAAAACUGGAGAAGCAGGAACUGCCAUCAGCCUCUGACUCCCUCCUUCCUGUGUUCUUCGCUUCCUGCCCACCCCAGCAUGAGGGAGAUCUGGGAAAGAAUCAAAUAGUGAGGGAGCACGCCAGCAUGAGGCAUAGGAAAACUCAGAGAUGUCAUUCUUUUAGCCAUUUAAAAAAAUCUUGGUUUUAAGCUCUUACCAUAGGAUUUAUUUUUAAAAAAUUAAUUCAGUUUCCACCAAGCACGAGCCGGGUACUCCUCUAGGAAUUUUACAUUCUCUGACUCAUGUGAUCCUCCAAUAAUCCUGUGAGGUAGGGGUCUUAGACCCAUUUCUCAAGGGUGGAAACUGAGGCCAAGAGUUUACACCAUCAAUGAGAGAUCCAGGAUUUCAUCCAAGGCCGACUGACUCUAGAUAGAGUCCCUUCUCCAGGACCAGUUGAAAUGCUUAGGCACAAAAC
rnacentral:lncRNA from 1 species